GCCCAUUAUAAUCUUGGAAAUAUUUUCUCGUUCUCUCAUUCGGAUUUUGGAAUGAGUUUGAAUCGAUUGGAGGUAUGUAAAGAGACAAACAGUAAAUUGUUUUUGAUUUUGGAGGAUUUUAUGAACUCCGGUUCUCUCAAUGUCGAAUUAUUGAUUUAAUGGUUUUGCUUGUAAUGAUGACUGUUUGUGUGCAAUUUUAGCUUUGAGCUGCGAUAAAGUUAGUUUUUUCCUUGUCCUCUCUAUCUUAGUUCUCAUUAUCACAACUUCUUUCCAAGACACGAAUGGAAUUACCAUGAUUAGGAAACUCAAAGUUUUACAAUGGUCAUCUGAUAUUUCUCGUACCAUCUUAUGCACGAAGGUCGCACUCGCACAUUCCUCGAAAUGUUUAACAACUAUCACGAAUCCUGUCAAACAAACUACUCCUGCGUACAUUCCCACAACUUCUUCUGAUCACCUCAAGCAUCAAAGAACCAAUGAAGCUCUUCUCUUUCCGAACAAACUCUCCUACCCAGAUGUUUACUCGUGCACCAAGAUGAUCCAAGGUCAUGUAAGAAACAAUCGGCUUAACGACGCCUUGAAGCUGUUCGACGAAAUGCCAGUUCGGGAUGUGGUAACAUGGAACUCUAUGAUCAAAGGCUGUUUCGACUGUGGGGAUUUGAAGUUGGGUUCCAAGCUGUUUGAAGAAAUGCCUGAAAGAAAUGUGGUUUCUUGGACGACGAUGUUAAACGGGUUGUUGAUAUAUGGAAGGACAGAAGCAGCUGAAAAAUUGUUCUUGGAGAUGCCAUUAAAAGACGAAGCUGCCUGGAAUUCAAUGAUUCAUGGAUAUUUCAUAAAUGGGAGAGUGGAAGAUGCUAUGAGGUUGUUCCACGAGAUGCCAAACAGGAGUAUCAUCACUUGGACCUCCAUGAUCAGUGGGCUUGAUCUAGCUGGAAAGAGUGAUGACGCGUUACUUCUCUUCAACCAGAUGAUGCCAUCUGGCAUUCGACCCACUUCAUUCACAUUCUCAUCUGCAAUAACAGCUUCUGCAAAUGCAAAAGAUUUCCAUUUAGGUGUCAAGAUCCAUGGUCAGGUAAUCAAACUUGGUUACCUUUCAGACACAUACAUCACUUCCCCUUUAAUCACAUUUUAUGCACAAUGCAAUGACACUGAUAGUUCCUCAAAAGUUUUUAAUGAGAAUCCACAAACUUCUGUGGUAGUCUGGACUUCCCUCUUAACUGGAUACAGUUUAAAUUCCAAACACGAGAAAGCAUUACAAGUAUUCUCCAACAUGUUUAGAUCUAAUGUUCUUCCAAAUCAAUCUUCAUUCACUAGUGCCUUAAAUUCAUGUUGUGAAAUGGAAGAUUCAAACAAAGGGAAUGUAAUCAAUGGAGCAGCUAUCAAACUAGGACUUGAAUCCGACAUGUUUGUAGGCAAUUCCCUUAUUGUAUUCUACACAAAACAUGGGAAUAUACAAAACGGAUUAUCCGUAUUUAAACAAAUACAUGAAAAGAAUAUAGUUUCAUGGAACUCUAUGAUUGUAGGAUGUGCACAAAACGGUUAUGGGAUGUGGAGUUUAAUCCUUUUUAACCAAAUGAUAAGUAAAGGGAUGUUAAAUGAAGCUGAUGAUAUAACAUUCACUGGGCUUCUUUCUGCUUGUAGUCAUUCUGGAAUGUUAGAAAAAGGACAAAAUAUAUUUAACUAUUUAUUAAAGUAUAAGUUUAAGAAGGUGAAGCUUGAGCAUUAUGCGUGUAUGGUGGAUAUUUUAGGGCGUAGUGGGAGGUUACAUGAAGCUGAAGAGUUGAUUAAAAACAUGCCAAUGGAACCGAAUAAAUCUAUUUGGUUAUCUUUGCUUAGUGGUUGUAAAAUGCAUUCAAAUUUAAAAAUGGCUGAAAGAGUUACACAAACUAUUUUCAACAUGGAUCAAGAUUGUAGUGCUGCGUAUACGCUUUUAUCAAAUUUGUAUGCUUUUUCUGGGAGAUGGAAUGAUGUUUUGAGAAUUCGGGAGUUGAUGAAAAGCAAAGGGGUUAUAAAAGAGCCUGGGCAUAGUGUUGCAUAGGGCUAAUGUUAUUAAAAGACGGGCGUAUGUGAUUCCUUUAUUGUGCCCUAAUACUCCGAUGGAUUCCUCCUAUAGCUUCUCAUCGCCCCUCAAUUGAUCAAGCAAGAAAUCGAUAGUGAACGAUCCAAAAACUUUUGAUUGUGGGUUCCCUGCACAUAUUCUAACGUCAACAACACCAAAGAAUCCAGGGAGACAUUUCAUGGUGUGCAAUGAGGGUAAAUACAAAUAUUGGAACUGGUUAGAUGUAGAACCUGUACAGAUGCCUCUAAUGGAAGUGGUGGAGGGAAUGAAAACUGAAUUAGUAGCAUUGAAGAUCGAAGUAGAGAAGGUGAAGGAAGACAUGGAACAAAUGAAGAAGGAAAAGUAUACUGAUGUCAUUGCAAUUGUAAUUGUAACACCGUGAAAAUUUACAACCAAUUUAAACUUUUCAAAAACAACAACAUAAAACUGAGGAGCGGUACGAUCACGCCUUCGCCUUGCCACGAUCUCCUGAAGUACCUGAAACAAUACACUGAAACUAUAAGCCCGAAAGCUUAGUGAGUUACCCCCAAAAUACCAACCACAAUACCAUACAAAUAUCAUAUCAUAUCAUAAACAGAACAACUAUGCAUAUCGAGUCUACAGUGUGACUGGUCCGCCUGCACCAAGCCUUUAGUCCACCCGGUCCACUCUCUCUCCGAGUCUAUAGUAUGACUGGUCCGCCCGCACCGGACCUUCAGUCUACCUGGUCCACUCUCUGAGUCAACAGUAUGACUAGUCCGCCUGCACCGGGCCUUCAGUCUGUCUGGUCCACUCUCCGAGCCUUCGCACGUCUGGUCCGCCCUCUUGGGGCCUUCAGCCUAUCCGGACCGCUCGCCGGGCCUUCGGUCUGACCGGUCCGCCCUGGGUAUGUUGGCCUACAACACAAAGCAGGACCCGCGUCAACCCAACCCCAGUCUAACAACCAUGUGCACACAAACAUAUAAUCAUAUAACAUCUCACAACUAAUCAAACCGAUCCAACAUAUCACAUAACAUAGCAACAUCCUAACCAGGAUAUCGACCUAACCGGUCACUAGCAUAGCAUCAUCCUAUAUGCCAGGAUACCGACCUUAACCAGGUCUCUAACACAUACCAUCCUAACUACCAGGAUGCAGACAUAGCAAAACAAUAACAUAACAACAACUACCCGGAUUUCCAUCCGAUAAAGGGCCAGCCUUGGUGCCUUAGACCCUGUUGAUAUAGUGAGGAUAACUCACCUGCAACUGCCGACUUGAAGAAAUAAGACCAUGCUGCUCCGACCACCAACACGAACUCCACCACUGAUCAUUACCAAAUAACCAAAACCAAUAAACACCAAUAAUUACCAAAAUACCCUUGGAAGUCAAACUGGUCAACCUUUGGUCCAAGUCAAAGUCCUCAGUCAAGGUCAACCUUCCUGGUUGACCCUACUCGCCAAGUCAACCCGUUGACUCGUCGAGUUCCUAUGCUCAGAAACUCCCAUGCCACGACUCAACUCGGCGAGUCGCCCCAAGACUCGUUGAGUCCAGUAAGCUCUGAGUCCCUUCUUGCUCAACUCACCGAGUCAUCCCUCGACUCACCAAUUCACAGCUCAACCAAAAAAAGCUAGGGUUUCACGACUAGACUCGCCGAGUCCAUCAUAGACUCGCCGAGUUGUUCUUCCAACUCGCCGAGUCCAAACGUGACAUCUUUAUUCAGAUGAUUUCAGGCCAUUUCAUUGCUUCCAAUACAUAGAUUUUGACUCCUAGGGCCAGAUUCACACGUAAAGUUUCCAACUUUACGUGCAUGCAAGGCUCAACAAGCUACAAUGAGGUUUUGGGACAAAGAUACUCUAAAUCAAGCCCCAUGGCUGAUGCUUUAAGCUUCCAUGGCUCACUAUUAACCUAGAUCUGAAUCUGCAACUUCAGUCUAACCUCUAAACCCGAAAUGGAUUCCAAUCAAGCUAAAAUUCCCAAAACAACAACCAAGAAUGGAUCUAGAAGGAGAAAACUCAAGGUAACAACUUGUUACCUCAGAAAUGUGCCCAAAAAGGAGUAGAUUCCGGAUCUACAAUGAUCUCCCGAUGCUAGCCUCUUGAUCUUCUAACUUUCUCCUCUUAAAUUCUUCUUCCAAGCUCAAACUUUAACAAUGGAGGCUCACACACACUAAUUAGGGUUUCUGGGACUCAAAUGAGCAGUAAAGAGGCUGAGGGUGGCUAUAAUGUGCUUCAUAUAGGGGACAACUCCCGGAAUUAGGGUUUUCUCCAUUCAGCACCAACUCGCCGAGUCCAGCUUCCGACUCGCUGAGUCGGUCACUUAACACAUGACCAGAAUCGCGACUCGACUCGCCGAGUCGACCUUCCUUAUUUACACUAAGAACCCUGAACUUGUACUUCUGAACUCGGGGUGUUACAAUUCUCCCCACUUAAAUUAGGCUUCGUCCUCGAAGCCUGCAACAACACACCCCAGAUGAUACUCCCACAAUACAGCUCCUGGUCUCAACCGACUCAGGUUCCUCCAAACACUGCUAUCAAAACCUAUGAAGUCCAACUCUUCCCUCACAAAGUCACGACAACUGCUUCAAACCAGCCACCAAUUUCUAUCUUUAAUGAUGUCCACAUCAACUAAGUAUCACCCGAUGAUACUUCCAUCAUUCCAACUUACACACUCACUUGCCCCUUAUAGAGUUGGAUAUCACCAUGUACCACCGGGUCCUGAUCCGGUACCAAACUGCUAUCCCUUUCCUCAACUGGCGUUACCUCUCUCGAAAUCUCUGUUGGGACUCAUCCCACUUCCUUUCUGAAUCCAACCUUUUCCUUCCUAUGUUGUCAAGAUAAUACAUCCUACAGCUCUUGAGCAGCUCCCAUGAGCUCUCAUCUACACUUCCAUACUCAUAUUGCAUCUGAUCCAACACCCUCAGGCAGGAAAAACCCGACUCAUUGACGAUACUUCCAGACAUCCCCAGGAUGAAUUACCGCUACAUACAUAACCUCCUGAUCACAACCAUACUGAAAAUCCAAGGCUCCAUCCUUGCAUCCCUUUCGAACUCCUCUGGUUCUACACUACCGGAAAUUCUUCCGCAGCCUCAACAGAUACCCAACCCGGAUGUGCUUCCAUACCACUGGUGUUGGGUUAUUAAGAAAAGAAAGCUAGAAACCAAGGGGGAGAUUGUUGGGUCAAAAUAUGGUUUAUACUUUACUUUUCUGGGCAAUUAUAUUUUUGUGUAAUAGUUUAUGAAUUUAUGGCUUAGUUUACGGUUGAGUUUACGGCCGUAAACUCAUUUACGGCCCAUUUGUUUUGUCCGGCCCAUAUUCAAGUAUAAAUAGAGGUCUUAGGGUGAGGAGUAGAGAUUAAUGAUUGAUGAACUAGAAGGAGUUUACGGCCAGAGAGAGAAAUUGUGUGUGUGAAUCUUUUGUAUCUGGAUCAUAAUUCAUAUCAAUUCAUACAUAGAUUCAUCAUAUUCUUCUUCUUCUUCUCUUCUUAUUUUAUAUGACAUCAUCCGUUUGAUUGGGAUUCCGCACCAUCAAACGGAUCUGACUGAUACACGGGCAGUUUAGGGACUUACAAUUGGUAUUAGAGUCUGGUUGUAUCAGUCAAAAGGAUUAUUAUUUCGUCUGGAAUCUGAAUAAUUGGUGUUUACGGUCCAAGCUUAUGGCCGUAAACUCCAAGUUCUUGGGCCGUAAACUCUUUUUAGGGCAAUAUUUGAUCUUAUUUUCGAAAUAUUUUUGCGUUUUUGGAUAGAUCUCGCAAAAAUAAGGGGGGUUUGUUCUUUGUGUUUUUCAUAAAAAGGAGUUUUUGAUUGAGUUUUGGAGCUUCAAAGUCGAAUUUUCACGUAAUCUUAAAUUGUUUACGGCCGGAGCUUACUGCCGGAAACAGUUUACGGCCGGAAACAGUUCACGGCCGGCGGCGCGUUUGUGUUUACGGCUAGGGUUUCCGUAGAUCUCGGCUCGGCAGCGACUUGCGACUCGGACGUGGCGGCUCGGAGUUUGCGGCUCGGAUUGGAAGUAUACGGCUCGGCUAGGAAAGCCGGCUAAACAGCAGCAAGCAGCAGCAACGCUUCAAUUAAAAAAAGGGGGCGACAUUUUGAGGGUGCUAGGAAUCAAACACGCGGCCUCCAGCUCUAUAACACAACGCAUUACCAUCUCAACUAGCAGGCUUCUUGUAUCAUUCCUCCGAAAUUUAAAACAUAACAUGUCUUUUUCGCUUAAAGUUUCGCAUUUUUUUUACAUU